AACUAAUCCCCACACCACCUAAGAACCCUUACACAAUACUGAGUAAUUCUAUACUCCUAUAGAAGAUUUCAUGUUAAAACUAGUAACAAGAAGAAGAACUUCUCUUAAGUGCAAGUGUAAAUCAGACAGGACACCCCGCUGACAAUUAACACCCGUGAACAAAAAGUAGUAACUUAACAAGAAAAUCCCUACUACACCCCAUGUUAACCUAACAACAGCGCACUACAAGAAAGAUUUAAAGAAAGAGAAGGAACUCGGCAAAUAAUAACCUCGCCUGUUUACCAAAAACAUCGCCUCUUGAAUAAUAUAAGAGGUCCAGCCUGCCCAGUGACUCUGUUCAACGGCCGCGGUAUCCUAACCGUGCGAAGGUAGCGUAAUCACUUGUUCUUUAAAUGAGGACUAGUAUGAACGGCACCACGAAGGUUAUGCUGUCUCCUCUUUCCAAUCAGUGAAACUAAUCUCCCCGUGAAGAAGCGGGGAUAUACAUAUAAGACGAGAAGACCCUAUGGAGCUUUAAACCACACAACACCUGCUCCAACUUAACUAACUUCCAGAAAACCCCCGUCUACCCAUGCAGGAUGAUUGUCAGUUUUAGGUUGGGGUGACCGCGGAGCAUAAAAUAACCUCCACAUUGAAAGGAGCCCACUCCUUAGCUAAGAGCCACACCUCCACGCAUCAACAAAAUGACAUUAAUUGACCCAAUAUAUUGACCAACGAACCAAGUUACCCUAGGGAUAACAGCGCAAUCCACUUUAAGAGCCCCUAUCGACAAGUGGGUUUACGACCUCGAUGUUGGAUCAGGGUAUCCCGGUGGUGCAGUCCGCUACCACAAGGUUGCGUUGUUC
rnacentral:rRNA from 1 species